UACGUAGGGUGCGAGCGUUAAUCGGAAUUACUGGGCGUAAAGCGUGCGCAGGCGGUUCGUUAUGUCCGAUGUGAAAGCCCCCGAGCUUAACUUGGGAAUGGCAUUGGAAACUGGCGGGCUGGAGUGCGGCAGAGGGGGUGGAAUUCCACGUGUAGCAGUGAAAUGCGUAGAGAUGUGGAGGAACACCGAUGGCGAAGGCAGCCCCUGGGCCGACACUGACGCUCAGGCACGAAGCGUGGGGAGCAAACAGG
rnacentral:rRNA from 1 species